GAUGAACGCUCGCUACAGGCUUAACACAUGCAAGUCGAGGGGAAACGACAUCGAAAGCUUGCUUUUGAUGGGCGUCGACCGGCGCACGGGUGAGUAACGCGUAUCCAACCUGCCCAUCACUUGGGGAUAACCUUGCGAAAGUAAGACUAAUACCCAAUGAUAUCUCUAGAAGACAUCUGAAAGAGAUUAAAGAUUUAUCGGUGAUGGAUGGGGAUGCGUCUGAUUAGCUUGUUGGCGGGGUAACGGCCCACCAAGGCAACGAUCAGUAGGGGUUCUGAGAGGACGGCCCCCAAAAUGGGACCGGAGACAGGGUCAAAACGCCAAGGGGGGGAAGCAUAGGGGAAAAUGGGCCAAGGGGCAGGACCCUAACCCAGCAAGUUAGCGGGAAGAAAGCCGGCCUAUGGGUGGUAAACUGCUUUUAUAAGGGAAUAAAGUGAGAGUCGUGACUCUUUUUGUAUGUACCUUAUGAAUAAGGACCGGCUAAUUCCGUG
rnacentral:rRNA from 1 species